rnacentral:rRNA from 1 species
AUUGAACGCUGGCGGCAUGCCUAACACAUGCAAGUCGAGCGGAUGAAGGGAGCUUGCUCCUGGAUUCAGCGGCGGACGGGUGAGUAAUGCCUAGGAAUCUGCCUUGUAUUGGGGGAUAACGUCCGGAAACGGGCGCUAAUACCGCAUAGGUCCUGAGGGAGAAAGUGGGGGAUCUUCGGACCUCACGCUAUCAGAUGAGCCUAGGUCGGAUUAGCUAGUUGGUGGGGUAAAGGCCUACCAAGGCGACGAUCCGUAACUGGUCUGAGAGGAUGAUCAGUCACACUGGAACUGAGACACGGUCCAGACUCCUACGGGAGGCAGCAGUGGGGAAUAUUGGACAAUGGGCGAAAGCCUGACCCAGCAAUGCCGCGUGUGUGAAGAAGGUCUUCGGAUUGUAAAGCACUUUAAGUUGGGAGGAAGGGCAGUAAGUUAAUACCUUGCUGUUUUGACGUUACCAGCAGAAUAAGCACCGGCUAACUUCGUG